GAUGAACGCUGGCGGCGUGCCUAAUACAUGCAAGUCGAGCGAACAGACGAGGAGCUUGCUCCUCUGACGUUAGCGGCGGACGGGUGAGUAACACGUGGAUAACCUACCUAUAAGACUGGGAUAACUUCGGGAAACCGGAGCUAAUACCGGAUAAUAUAUUGAACCGCAUGGUUCAAUAGAGAAAGACGGUUUUGCUGUCACUUAUAGAUGGAUCCGCGCCGCAUUAGCUAGUUGGUAAGGUAACGGCUUACCAAGGCAACGAUGCGUAGCCGAUCUGAGAGGGUGAUCGGCCACACUGGAACUGAGACACGGUCCAGACUCCUACGGGAGGCAGCAGUAGGGAAUCUUCCGCAAUGGGCGAAAGCCUGACGGAGCAACGCCGCGUGAGUGAUGAAGGUCUUCGGAUCGUAAAACUCUGUUAUUAGGGAAGAACAAAUGUGUAAGUAACUAUGCACGUCUUGACGGUACCUAAUCAGAAAGCCACGGCUAACUACGUG
rnacentral:rRNA from 1 species